CUCGUAGUAAUAUUUCUUAUGCCCCACAUCCAGAGGCCUGUGCUCACCACCUCAGCAGUGCCCGGGGAGGUUCGCCAGGCGUGGGCAGGCUCUCCCUUGAAAGCACCUGACCUGGUUCUACCUUGCACUGGGGCUGAAUGUUUCACAAGAAAAGGGAACAGGACUGGACCGCUGGCUGUUCCUUCUUUGAUCCCAGGCAUGAUUUCAGCUUGUAGAAUAAAUGAGAAAUGCCUGUUGGUUUAAUUAAAAGAACCGCAUUGGCUGUGCUAGCCUGCCUGCCUUCUGGUGCCCAAGCAAGUGUACUGAUAAAGGAAUCAAAAGCUGCACACUCAA
rnacentral:lncRNA from 1 species